UACGGGGGGGGCAAGCGUUAUUCGGAAUUAUUGGGCGUAAAGGGCGCGUAGGCGGCUUUGCAAGUGGCGGGUGAAAUCCCUCGGCUUAACCGAGGAACUGCCUGUCAAACUGCAUGGCUUGAGACCAGGAGAGGUGAGUGGAAUUCCCAGUGUAGCGGUGAAAUUCGUAGAUAUUCGGAAGAACACCAGUGGCGAAGGCGGCUCACUGGACCGGUAUUGACGCUGAGGUGCGAAAGCGUGGGGAGCAAACAGG
rnacentral:rRNA from 1 species